CCCCGGUAAACGGCGGCCGUAACUAUAACGGUCCUAAGGUAGCGAAAUUCCUUGUCGGGUAAGUUCCGACCUGCACGAAUGGCGUAAUGAUGGCCAGGCUGUCUCCACCCGAGACUCAGUGAAAUUGAACUCGCUGUGAAGAUGCAGUGUACCCGCGGCAAGACGGAAAGACCCCGUGAACCUUUACUAUAGCUUGACACUGAACAUUGAGCCUUGAUGUGUAGGAUAGGUGGGAGGCUUUGAAGUGUGGACGCCAGUCUGCAUGGAGCCGACCUUGAAAUACCACCCUUUAAUGUUUGAUGUUCUAACGUGGACCCGUAAUCCGGGUUGCGGACAGUGUCUGGUGGGUAGUUUGACUGGGGCGGUCUCCUCCUAAAGAGUAACGGAGGAGCACGAAGGUUGGCUAAUCCUGGUCGGACAUCAGGAGGUUAGUGCAAUGGCAUAAGCCAGCUUGACUGCGAGCGUGACGGCGCGAGCAGGUGCGAAAGCAGGUCAUAGUGAUCCGGUGGUUCUGAAUGGAAGGGCCAUCGCUCAACGGAUAAAAGGUACUCCGGGGAUAACAGGCUGAUACCGCCCAAGAGUUCAUAUCGACGGCGGUGUUUGGCACCUCGAUGUCGGCUCAUCACAUCCUGGGGCUGAAGUAGGUCCCAAGGGUAUGGCUGUUCGCCAUUUAAAGUGGUACGCGAGCUGGGUUUAGAACGUCGUGAGACAGUUCGGUCCCUAUCUGCCGUGGGCGCUGGAGAACUGAGGGGGGCUGCUCCUAGUACGAGAGGACCGGAGUGGACGCAUCACUGGUGUUCGGGUUGUCAUGCCAAUGGCACUGCCCGGUAGCUAAAUGCGGAAGAGAUAAGUGCUGAAAGCAUCUAAGCACGAAACUUGCCCCGAGAUGAGUUCUCCCUGAGACUUAGAGUCUCCUGAAGGAACGUUGAAGACGACGACGUUGAUAGGCCGGGUGUGUAAGCGCAGCGAUGCGUUGAGCUAACCGGUACUAAUGAACCGUGAGGCUUAACCUUACAACGCCGAA
rnacentral:rRNA from 1 species